AAAAGAGAAAGCAUGUGCUCUUACUGAAUCAUAUCACGAAGCAACAUACUACCAGUGCACAGCUCCAGGCGACCUUGGGCAGGGGCUAGAGCCAUCCAGCUUUUCUAAAUGCCAAGUCAGCACUGUGCUGCUCAUAGGAGUGGAGAGCCCCACAGGCACUGCCCCGAGGGCAUCUUGCAGCCCCAGCUGGACGCAGGCUCUGCUGAGUCACUGGCCUUGGCAAGGAAGUGCUCACGCCACCGUCAUGUUCUUGUGCUGUUAUCCAAGGUCACAGAGCAGGCUGAUAGCGGAUCAGGCCUCUUCAUUCCCAGUGAAGCUUUCUGUUGCCCUGAUAUGUAAAUAAUAUUCAAUAAAUGUAG